AUGAACGCUGGCGGCGUGCCUAAUACCUGCAAGUCGAGCGAACAGACGAGGAGCUUGCUCCUCUGACGUUAGCGGCGGACGGGUGAGUAACACGUGGAUAACCUACCUAUAAGACUGGGAUAACUUCGGGAAACCGGAGCUAAUACCGGAUAACAUGUUGAACCGCAUGGUUUAACAGUGAAAGACGGUCUUGCUGUCACUUAUAGAUGGAUCCGCGCCGCAUUAGCUAGUUGGUAAGGUAACGGCUUACCAAGGCAACGAUGCGUAGCCGACCUGAGAGGGUGAUCGGCCACACUGGAACUGAGACACGGUCCAGACUCCUACGGGAGGCAGCAGUAGGGAAUCUUCCGCAAUGGGCGAAGGCCUGACGGAGCAACGCCGCGUGAGUGAAGAAGGUCUUCGGAUCGUAAAACUCUGUUAUUAGGGAAGAACAAAUGUGUAAGUAACUAUGCACGUCUUGACGGUACCUAAUCAGAAAGCCACGGCUAACUACGUG
rnacentral:rRNA from 1 species